AUGCUGCUGCCUGACACCUGCAGAGAAGCCUCUGGGGGAAAAUGUGAUGGCGUUGACCUAACUUCAUUUUGGACUCGUCCAUCUUCAUUUCUGCCCUAUCUCUCUUUGGUCUCUCUUCCCACUUGCAGACCCUUGCGAGUGAAGAGAAAUUCUUCAGCUCCCACAGUGAGAUUUCCGACUACCUCCAAGGAAAAGACAGUCCAGUUAACAGUGAGCUUCUCAUCUGGGGUUAUCCAGGCUAGAAGGAAAGCAGAUGCCAUCUUUACAUUCGAGAGCAAGCCUCAAAUACAGCCAUUUUUUCACAUGCCAAGUCUGUAUGCAAAGACUAGAGAACCACCCUUUAAAAACUACUCCAGGCUGUUCUUCGCCAAGAAGAUGCAUGAAGACGGUAAGAGAUGGUAAGAGGUGGGGUUCAAGGCAUGGUGGGUACAGAAGUGCAUAGAAUAAUACCAGCUGACUUAAUGAAAUGCUGACUGUAAACAUAGCAUCGUGCAAUAACAUGGAAAAUAAGAACUUUGGUAACAGUAACAGCUUAGUAAUGCAGUGGUUUGAUGGAAUGUGCAAUGACCGAAUAAUUUCAGAUUUUAUUAGACAAAUUAAUGUAAAGUACAUAAUGAAAAGAACCACUAUGUCUAUAAAACAUAACUGAAAUUGAGACGAAUUGAAAGGAAACAGUCAAGUUAAGAAGUAGAAGGAGGCAUUCCCAUGGUGGCUCAGUGAUAAUGACCCCUGACUGGCAUCCAUGAGGUGGCGGGUUUGAUCUCUGGCCUUGCUCAGUGGGUUGAGGAUCUGGCGUUGCCUGGAGCUGUGGUGUAGGUUGCAGAUGCGGCUUGGAUCUGGCAUGGCUGUGGCUGUGGUGUAGGCUGGUGGCUACAGCUCUGAUUUAACCCCUAGCCUGGAAACUUCCAUAUGCUGAGCGUGCCACCUUAAAAAAAAAAAAAAAAAAAAGUAGAAGGAAAGAGAAAGGAGAAGGAUGGCAAUACAGAAAACACAAAAUAAAACAGUGGACAUAAUUCUAAUAUAUCA
rnacentral:lncRNA from 1 species